rnacentral:tRNA from 1 species
AGCAGUGUAGCACAGUGCUAAGGUGUAGGGCUUGUAACCUAAAGGUUGCUGGUUCAAUUUCUGUGGUACUGCUG